rnacentral:rRNA from 1 species
CCUACGGGGGGCUGCAGUGGGGAAUCUUCCGCAAUGGGCGCAAGCCUGACGGAGCAAUGCCGCGUGAACGAAGAAGGUCUUCGGAUUGUAAAGUUCUGUCCUUAUCGAAGAGAGAGUAUAGAGUGAAAAAUGAUAUACUAGGACGGUAGAUGAGGAGGAAGCCCCGGCUAACUACGUGCCAGCAGCCGCGGUAAUACGUAGGUGGCAAGCGUUGUCCGGAUUUACUGGGUGUAAAGGGCGUGCAGCCGGGAAGACAAGUCAGAUGUGAAAUCCCGCGGCUCAACCGCGGAACUGCAUUUGAAACUGUUGUUCUUGAGUACCGGAGAGGUCAUCGGAAUUCCUUGUGUAGCGGUGAAAUGCGUAGAUAUAAGGAAGAACACCAGUGGCGAAGGCGGAUGACUGGACGGCAACUGACGGUGAGGCGCGAAAGCGUGGGGAGCAAACAGGAUUAGAUACCCCUGUAGUC